rnacentral:rRNA from 1 species
UACGAAGGUGGCAAGCGUUGUCCGGAUUUAUUGGGCGUAAAGAGCUCGUAGGCGGCUUGUCACGUCGAUUGUGAAAGCCCCGAGGCUUAACCUCGGGUCUGCAGUCGAUACGGGCUAGCUAGAGUGUGGUAGGGGGAGAUCGGAAUUCCUGGUGUAGCGGUGAAAUGCGCAGAUAUCAGGAGGAACACCGGUGGCGAAGGCGGAUCUCUGGGCCAUUACUGACGCUGAGGAGCGAAAGCGUGGGGAGCGAACAGG